rnacentral:lncRNA from 1 species
GUCUUCACUUUUUACUUUAUUACUCUCACUUUCGAGAUUAUCACUAACUUGAGCGUCGAAGUAUCUUUUGCAGGUAUUCCUGCCGUGGUGUUCGUUCCAGGCCGACGUAUAGCUCUUCCUCUCCGAUGGACGCUUGCUCGGAGUCGCUAAGCUCGGCCCCCAGAACCAGGACGAAUCAAUUUUAAAAAAAAAAGUUUUAUACAUUUUUAUCGGAAUGAUUCUCUACAAAGAGUCACUUAUUUCUUUCUUUUUUGGUCAAGUAGAUUGGACAACUUUUAAUCCUAGACAUUACACCCAUGCAUUAUACACUCAUACAACACACUGACACAUAUUAUAUAGAUACACACUAUUAACAUAGUUCUAUAUUCCUCCAAAAAUCGGGGAGAACGUGGCUGUUCCGGUUGAAAAAGGCGGUGGACCAGGCCUCGUAGUGGGCGGCAGCUUUGUCGUGGGUCUCCUGGAAAUGUUGUUUCUUCUCCAAGAAGAGGAUGACCUGAGAGAGGACAUAGCUGGAGACAUUAGGCACGGGGAUCACUCCAUCGCCGUCAACCACCAAACCUUCUUCAAUAGCAUCAGCGUGUCCCUUCAAAACCCCAGAUUCGGUCGUAAGGCUCUUAUCGAUCCCCACAAGUUUUAGAUCCGCCGUCCAUCUUAUUAAAUCGUUGUACGAGCUUUUUUUACCCCUUUUGUACCAAUCGUGGAGAGAGCAGCAGAUCACACUGAAUCCGCCAUCCUUCGCAAGAGUGUAAAAAUGAGCUUUCGCAAGCUCAUAAUCCUUGCGGAGCCGACUAUACUCGUCCGGCUUAAAACAGAUCUCCAAAAACCCUGGUUUACUGGGUAGACGAGAGAAAAUGAACCAAUCGCUAAAGGCUUGACAAGCAUCCGCGCUGCAGAAUCCCGAUUGCUUUCUUUGAUUUUAAUUUUCUUUUUUAUUCUGUCGUUCACGUUGUUGAUUGUUCUCAUUCUCUUUCUA